rnacentral:tRNA from 1 species
CCCGGGGUAGCUCAGCCUGGUAGAGCUUCCGGCUGUAGACCACGCCUGACACGGCGCCGGUCAUCCAGCCUGCCAGGCGUACAGAAACCGGAGUGCCGUCGGUUCAAAUCCGGCCCCCGGGA